rnacentral:rRNA from 1 species
AGAAUCAACGCUGGCGGCGUGCCUAACACAUGCAAGUCGAACGAGAAAGUGGAGCAAUCCAUGAGUAAAGUGGCGACCGGGUGAGUAACACGUGACUAACCUACCUUCGAGUGGGGGAUAACCUCGGGAAACCGAGGCUAAUACCGCAUAACAUCGCAAGAUCAAAGCAGCAAUGCGCUGGAAGAGGGGGUCGCGGCUGAUUAGCUAGUUGGCGGGUAACGGCCCACAAGGCGAAGAUCGGUAUCCGGCCUGAGAGGGCGCGACGGACGACACUGGAACUGAAACACGGUCCAGACUCCUACGGGAGGCAGCAGUGGGGAAUUUUGCGCAAUGGGGGAAACCCUGACGCAGCAACGCCGCGUGGAGGAUGAAGCCCCUUGGGGCGUAAACUCCUUUCGACCAAGACGAUAAUGACGGUACUGGUGGAAGAAGCACCGGCUAACUCUGUGCCAGCAGCCGC